AGUGGAUGGGGAGCAACCUAGUUGUGCGUGUGUAAAGGUAGUGCCAAGAAAAGCGAUGAUCAUGUUGAAAAUCAAUUCCCGGUACCCGAAACCGACACAGGUGGGCAAGUAGAGAAUACUAAGGGGCGCGAGGUAACUCUCUCCAAGGAACUCGGCAAAAUGACCCCGUAACUUAGGGAGAAGGGGUGCCACCGAGAGGUGGUCGCAGUGAAGAGGCCCAGGCGACUGUUUAGCAAAAACAUAGGUCUCUGCAAACUCGAAAGAGGAGGUAUAGGGGCUGACGCCUGCCCAGUGCCGGAAGGUUAAAGAAGUUGGUCAGUUUUAGGAUGAAGCUAGCGACUGAAGCCCCGGUGAACGGCGGCCGUAACUAUAACGGUCCUAAGGUAGCGAAAUUCCUUGUCGGGUAAGUUCCGACCCGCACGAAAGGCGUAACGAUCUGGGCGCUGUCUCGGAGAGAGGCUCGGCGAAAUAGGAUUGUCUGUGAAGAUACGGACUACCUGCAUUUGGACAGAAAGACCCUAUGAAGCUUUACUAUAGCUUGGAAUUGUGUUCGGGCUUCCUGUGCGCAGGAUAGGUGGGGGGCGUAGAAGGUAUUCUUGUGGGGAUACUGGAGCCAACGGUGAGAUACCACUCUCAGGAGGCUAGAAUUCUAACUUAAUUAAGGACAGUUUCAGGUGGGUAGUUUGACUGGGGCGGUCGCCUCCAAAGAGGUAACGGAGGCGUACAAAGGUUCCCUCAGACUGGUUGGAAAUCAGUCGAAGAGUGCAAAGGCAGAAGGGAGCUUGACUGCGAGAAGUACAGUUCGAGCAGGGUGGAAACACGGUCUUAGUGAUCCGACGGUGCUGUGUGGAAGGGCCGUCGCUCAACGGAUAAAAGUUACUCUAGGAUAACAGGCUGAUCUCCCCCAAGAGUUCACAUCGACGGGGAGGUUUGGCACCUCGAUGUCGGCUCAUCGCAACCUGGGGCGGAAGUACGUCCCAAGGGUUGGGCUGUUCGCCCAUUAAAGCGGUACGUGAGCUGGGUUCAGAACGUCGUGAGACAGUUCGGUCCAUAUCCGAUGUAGGCGUGAGAAUAUUGAGAGGAGCCUUCCUUAGUACGAGAGGACCGGGAAGGACGCACCGCUGGUGUACCUGUUAUGAUGCCAAUUGUAAACGCAGGGUAGCCAAGUGCGGAGAGGAUAACCGCUGAAAGCAUCUAAGUGGGAAGCCCACCUCAAGAUGAGUAUUCUGGUGUAAGGUCACGGGAAGACGACCCGUAAAUAGGCACGAGGUGGAAGUGCAGAGAUGUAUGAAGCCGAAGUGUACUAAUAGACCGUCGGCUUGACC
rnacentral:rRNA from 1 species